CCCCUCACCACGGAAUCUCCCCUCACCACGGAGUCUCCCCUCACCAUGGAGUCUCCCCUCACCAUGGAGUCUCCCCUCACCAUGGAGUCUCCCAUCAUCAUCAACCCAGGAUCUUCUUCUGCUCUCUUGAAUUGGGAGACUUUGUCCUCGAAUUCCAUGAGUGGGAGCACCCAAUCAGAAUUGCCUGUAUCUGGAUGAUGUCUGUCAUUUAUCUACCUCCCAGACUUGUUGGGAUCAUCAGGUUUUGGCAUUGUGACCUGCAGCUGCUAUCCACAUCCUUGUCCAUGUCUCCUGGUGAAUAUGUGCUCCCUGGGGCUGACGUUCUAGCCCUGGGAGCUGACCUUACUUUGUGCUAAUGAGAUUUCUACCCAUCUGUGACCAUAAAGGGAAAGCUGAUAAAGACCCUGGAGUUUGGGAAUCUGAAGCGGUGGAUCUUAUUGUCAUGGAUUGGUUCCUAUUCAUGACAAAUUCAUAUUGCAAAGGACCGAAAACCCAGCAGUUUUCUUAAACGUCAGAAUAAACCUGCUGUUAUUUUAAAAGCAUUAAAAAUUCUUUUAAACGGCAAGAAUCACUCUUAAAAGUCUUUUUAUUUCAAAUUAAUAGCUUCUAAAUGUGAAGGUCUCUGCUUUGUGACUAACAAAAAUGUUUGCCAAUAUUCCAAAUUAGAUUAUUUUGUUUUUAGCAAGAAUCAGACUUUUUUUUUGAGCCAGAGGAGACUUUAGAGACACUAUCUAUCUAGUUCAACCCCUUCAUUUCAUAUUAUCAGUAACAGAAGCCUCCUUGAGGUCA
rnacentral:lncRNA from 1 species